rnacentral:rRNA from 1 species
UAUACAAAGAAGAGUUUGAUCCUGGCUCAGGAUGAACGCUAGCGGCAGGCUUAACACAUGCAAGUCGAGGGGCAG